GAUGAAGAACGUAGCGAAAUGCGAUAAGUAAUGUGAAUUGCAGAAUCCAGUGAAUCAUCGAAUCUUUGAACGCACAUUGCGCCCGCCAGCAUUCUGGCGGGCAUGCCUGUUCGAGCGUCAUUUCAACCCUCGACCUCCCCUUGGGGAGAUCGGCGUUGGGGACCGGCAGCACACCGCCGGCCCUGAAAUGGAGUGGCGGCCCGUCUGCGGCGACCUCUGCGUAGUAAUACAGCUCGCACCGGAACCCCGACGCGGCCACGCCGUAGAACACCCAACUUCUGAACGUUGACCUCGAAUCAGGUAGGACUACCCGCUGAACUUAAGCAUAUCAAUAAGCGGAGGA
rnacentral:misc_RNA from 1 species